CCUACGGGAGGCAGCAGUGAGGAAUAUUGGUCAAUGGACGCAAGUCUGAACCAGCCAAGUAGCGUGCAGGAUGACGGCCCUAUGGGUUGUAAACUGCUUUUAUACAGGGAUAAAACGGAGCACGUGUGCCCUGUUGCAUGUACUUUAUGAAUAAGGAUCGGCUAACUACGUGCCAGCAGCCGCGGUAAUACGGAGGAUCCGAGCGUUAUCCGGAUUUAUUGGGUUUAAAGGGAGCGUAGGCGGGUUGUUAAGUUAGAUGUGAAAUGUCGCGGCUUAACCGUGGAAUUGCAGCUGAUACUGGCGGUCUUGAGUACAGAUGCGGUAGGCGGAAUUCGUGGUGUAGCGGUGAAAUGCUUAGAUAUCAUGAAGAACCCCGAUUGCGAAGGCAGCUUACCAAUCUGUAACUGACGCUGAGGCUCGAAAGUGUGGGUAUCAAACAGGAUUAGAUACCCUAGUAGUC
rnacentral:rRNA from 1 species